AUUAUUAUUAUUACACAAUUAUUUUUAUUAAAAAAUGGGAAAGUGUUGUGCCGUUUAUGGUUGCCUUAGUGGCCGAAAGGCAAGUGAGAAUUUAGGAAAAGUGGCUUUAUUCAAAGCACCAAAAAGCUGUCAAUAGCAACAAGACUUCCCGCGUAAGUAUUUAAACGAGUACUCCUGUGAAAAGCAGCGCGCCCUACCGGCAAAAUAUCUGUCCCCUAAAUUGAUACCGUUCUUUCAAUAUUACGUUCGGACUCCUGGUAUGUAUUCUCCGUGGA